AGAGUUUGAUCCUGGCUCAGAACGAACGCUGGCGGCAGGCUUCAUACAUGCAAGUCGAGCGGUAAGGCCUCUUCGGAGGUACACGAGCGGCGAACGGGUGAGUAACAGGUGGAUAAUCUGCCUCUUAGUGGGGAAUACCAGUUGGAAACGACUGUUAAAUACCGCAUACGAUUAUAUUUUCUUCGGAUUAUAUAAGGAAAGGGCCUUUUGGCCCGCUGAGAGAUGAGUCCGCCCCCCAUUAGGUAGUUGGUGUGAUAAAAGCGCACCAAGCCUACGAUGGGUAGCCGGACUGAGAGGUUGGCCGGCCACACUGGAACUGAGACACGGUCCAGACACCUACGGGUGGCAGCAGUAGGGAAUAUUGCGCAAUGAACGAAAGUUUGACGCAGCUAUGCCGCGUGGACGAUGAAGGCCUUCGGGUCGUAAAGUCCUUUUAUUAGGGAAGAACAAGCAGAGGAGUAAAAGCCUUUGCCCUGACGGUACCUAAUGAAUAAGCAACGGCUAACUCCGUGCCAGCAGCCGCGGUAAUACGGAGGUUGCAAGCGUUGUUCGGAAUUACUGGGCGUAAAGGGAGUGCAGGCGGUUUGGUCAGUCUGAAGUGAAAGCCCGGGCCUCAACCCCGGAAUUGCUUUGGAUACUUUCAAGCUUGAGUAUGUGAGAGGUGAGUGGAAUUCCUGGUGUAGCGGUGAAAUGCGUAGAUAUCAGGAAGAACACCGGUGGCGAAGGCGACUCUCUGGUCCAGUACUGACGCUGAGGCGCGAAAGCCAGGGGAGCGAACGGGAUUAGAUACCCCGGGUAGUCCACGCCGUAAACGUUGUGCACUAGGUGUGGGAGGACAUCGACCCCUUCUGUGCCGCAGCUAACGCAUUAAGUACACCGCCUGGGGAGUACGCGCGCAAGCGUGAAACUCAAAGGAAUUGACGGGGGCCCGCACAAGCGGUGGAGCAUGUGGUUUAAUUCGAGGCAACGCGAAGAACCUUACCCGGGUUUGACAUCCUGCGCUACUUUUGGAAACAAAAGAGGUUCUCUUCGGAGACGCAGAGACAGGUGUUGCAUGGCUGUCGUCAGCUCGUGUCGUGAGAUGUUGGGUUAAGUCCCGCAACGAGCGCAACCCUUAUCCAUAGUUACCAGCGGUUCGGCCGGGAACUCUAUGGAGACUGCCCGUGAUAAGCGGGAGGAAGGUGGGGACGACGUCAAGUCAUCAUGGCCCUUACGUCUGGGGCUACACACGUGCUACAAUGGCCGGAACAGUGAGCAGCAAAAUCGCGAGGUAGAGCUAAUCUCAAAAAUCCGGUCUCAGUUCGGAUUGGAGUCUGCAACUCGACUCCAUGAAGUUGGAAUCGCUAGUAAUCGCGUAUCAGCAAUGACGCGGUGAAUACGUUCCCGGGCCUUGUACACACCGCCCGUCACAUGACCCGAGUCGGUUGCACCCGAAGUCGCUGACCCAACCCGCAAGGGAGGGAGGUGCCGAAGGUGUGAUUGGUAAGGGGGAUGAAGUCGUAACAAGGUAGCCGU
rnacentral:rRNA from 1 species